rnacentral:lncRNA from 1 species
CUGUCCAACAGCGAGCGGAGCAAUAAAGUGUUAGCCAUUUUUGAAAAAAAAAGACUUAUUAGUAUAUGAAUUACUUAAUCCUAAAGAUUUGAAUUUUAGUCUAAAGGUUCUUUUACUAUUUUAUAUGAAUUGGUAGCCUCGUUGGGUUCGAGUAGUGCAAUGGAAUACUGAACUUCAAAAAUUUAUAAUCAUAAAAUUCAUAACACCCAAAACCCUACACCC